rnacentral:rRNA from 1 species
UGGGAAUUUUGGACAAUGGGCGAAAGCCUGAUCCAGCAAUGCCGCGUGUGUGAAGAAGGCCUUCGGGUUGUAAAGCACUUUUGUCCGGAAAGAAAUCCUUGGCUCUAAUACAGUCGGGAGAUGACGGUACCGGAAGAAUAAGCACCGGCUAACUACGUGCCAGCAGCCGCGGUAAUACGUAGGGUGCAAGCGUUAAUCGGAAUUACUGGGCGUAAAGCGUGCGCAGGCGGUUUGCUAAGACCGAUGUGAAAUCCCCGGGCUCAACCUGGGAACUGCAUUGGUGACUGGCAGGCUAGAGUAUGGCAGAGGGGGGUAGAAUUCCACGUGUAGCAGUGAAAUGCGUAGAGAUGUGGAGGAAUACCGAUGGCGAAGGCAGCCCCCUGGGCCAAUACUGACGCUCAUGCACGAAAGCGUGGGGAGCAAACAGGAUUAGAUACCCUGGUAGUCCACGCCCUAAACGAUGUCAACUAGUUGUUGGGGAUUCAUUUCCUUAGUAACGUAGCUAACGCGUGAAGUUGACCGCCUGGGGAGUACGGUCGC